GUUGGACGCUGGCGGCAUGCCUUACACAUGCAAGUCGAACGGCAGCACGGGGGCAACCCUGGUGGCGAGUGGCGAACGGGUGAGUAAUACAUCGGAACGUGCCCAGUAGUGGGGGAUAGCCCGGCGAAAGCCGGAUUAAUACCGCAUACGACCUACGGGUGAAAGCGGGGGAUCGCAAGACCUCGUGCUACCGGAGCGGCCGAUGUCAGAUUAGGUUGUUGGUGGGGUAAAAGCCUACCAAGCCGACGAUCUGUAGCUGGUCUGAGAGGACGACCAGCCACACUGGGACUGAGACACGGCCCAGACUCCUACGGGAGGCAGCAGUGGGGAAUUUUGGACAAUGGGCGCAAGCCUGAUCCAGCCAUGCCGCGUGCGGGAAGAAGGCCU
rnacentral:rRNA from 1 species